AUUGAACGCUGGCGGCAUGCCUUACACAUGCAAGUCGAACGGUAACGGGCCUUCGGGUGCCGACGAGUGGCGAACGGGUGAGUAAUACAUCGGAACGUGCCCGAUCGUGGGGGAUAACGAGGCGAAAGCUUUGCUAAUACCGCAUACGAUCUACGGAUGAAAGCAGGGGACCGCAAGGCCUUGCGCGGACGGAGCGGCCGAUGGCAGAUUAGGUAGUUGGUGGGAUAAAAGCUUACCAAGCCGACGAUCUGUAGCUGGUCUGAGAGGAUGAUCAGCCACACUGGGACUGAGACACGGCCCAGACUCCUACGGGAGGCAGCAGGGGGGAAUUUUGGCCAAUGGGCGCAAGCCUGAUCCAGCCAUGCCGCGUGCAGGAUGAAGGCCUUCGGGUUGUAAACUGCUUUGUACGGAACGAAAAGCCUUCUUUUAAUACAGGAGGGUCAUGACGGUACCGUAAGAAUAAGCACCGGCUAACUACGUG
rnacentral:rRNA from 1 species